UGAGUAACACGUAUCCAACCUGCCGUCUACUCUUGGACAGCCUUCUGAAAGGAAGAUUAAUACAAGAUGGCAUCAUGAGUUCACAUGUUCACAUGAUUAAAGGUAUUCCGGUAGACGAUGGGGAUGCGUUCCAUUAGAUAGUAGGCGGGGUAACGGCCCACCUAGUCUUCGAUGGAUAGGGGUUCUGAGAGGAAGGUCCCCCACAUUGGUACUGAGACACGGACCAA
rnacentral:rRNA from 1 species